GACGAACGCUGGCGGCGUGCUUAACACAUGCAAGUCGAACGGAAAGGCCCUGCUUUUGUGGGGUGCUCGAGUGGCGAACGGGUGAGUAACACGUGAGUAACCUGCCCUUGACUUUGGGAUAACUUCAGGAAACUGGGGCUAAUACCGGAUAGGAGCUCCUGCUGCAUGGUGGGGGUUGGAAAGUUUCGGCGGUUGGGGAUGGACUCGCGGCUUAUCAGCUUGUUGGUGGGGUAGUGGCUUACCAAGGCUUUGACGGGUAGCCGGCCUGAGAGGGUGAUCGGCGACAAUGGAAGUGAGACAAGGUCAAGACGCAUAAGGGAGGCAGCAGGAGGGAAGCGUACGCAAUGGGCGGAAGCGUGACGGAGCAACGCCGCGUGAGUGACGAAGGUCGUCGGAUCGUAAAACUCGGUGAUGAGGGAAGAACAAAUGUGUAAGGAAAUAUGCACGUCUUGACGGUAGCUAAUCAGAAAGCCACGGCUAACUACGUG
rnacentral:rRNA from 1 species